ensembl:snoRNA SNORA70 Small nucleolar RNA SNORA70
CUGCAGCUAAUUAGCUGACAAUGCUCCUUUCCUCUGGGGCCAGGUGUGCAAUGGCCUCCUUGGUAGCAUCCUGUUGCUUGUAUAGGUUGCUCUAAAGGACCUGGGAGACAUUC